GCCGUUCCACGUCGACGCGGUGACCGUCACGCACGUCGCUGAGGAUGGCGAGUCCUGGACGGUCAAUGUCGGAGCGCAGAUCGAUCAGUUUCACGGCGAGGUGCGGGCUGGUAUCAAGGCCAGCAAGGAGAUGCCGUGCGAGGAGUGGCAGGAGGCCACCGUGAAGG
rnacentral:snRNA from 13 species